rnacentral:rRNA from 1 species
GAUGAACGCUGGCGGCGUGCCUAAUACAUGCAAGUCGAGCGAACGGACGAGAAGCUUGCUCCUCUGAUGUUAGCGGCGGACGGGUGAGUAACACGUGGAUAACCUACCUAUAAGACUGGGAUAACUUCGGGAAACCGGAGCUAAUACCGGAUGAUAUUUUGUACCGCAUGGUUCAAAAGUGAAAGACGGUCUUGCUGUCACUUAUAGAUGGAUCCGCGCUGCAUUAGCUAGUUGGUAAGGUAACGGCUUACCAAGGCAACGAUGCAUAGCCGACCUGAGAGGGUGAUCGGCCACACUGGAACUGAGACACGGUCCAGACUCCUACGGGAGGCAGCAGUAGGGAAUCUUGCGCAAUGGGCGAAAGCCUGACGGAGCAACGCCGCGUGAGUGAUGAAGGUCUUCGGAUCGUAAAACUCUGUUAUUAGGGAAGAACAGAUGUGUAAGUAACUGUGCACAUCUUGACGGUACCUAAUCAGAAAGCCACGGCUAACUACGUG